rnacentral:lncRNA from 1 species
CAGCACUCCUGUAGUUCCCCUGCUAAAGCCAGGAAAUUGUUUUGGAGAAGCUCCCCUGCAAGACUUCUCCUGCAUGAAGGAUGCAAGUGUAAAGCCUUUGAUUUCCUGUGUGUAAGAAUGUGUGCUGCUGCUUUAAGUAAUCAGCAGCUGCUGCUUAAAUCCAUUAGCAGGUGGAAUACCAAUUUGCUUACACUGAGAUAUUAGUCUCAUGAGGAGAGAGUCGUUGCUCAUACUAGAAUCCAUCUCACGUUGCUGUCCUUCACCUUUCUCCUUUCACAGAUUAAAUAUCCUCAUGUCUCCAGAAGAUGUAUUAAAUUCCUGCUUUUUGCUGUUAGAGGUGGAUCAAAUGUCUUGCUUGUAGACGUGAAGCCUGGCUACCCCUCAGUUCUUGUCCUUGUCCUUACUAAGCUCUAUGGGAACACAUAAUCCUGCUGAUGAAACUGGAAAUGCUUCUAUUUGCAGCAGAAUACAGAUGUUGAGGGCAGUUCCUAUUUUGCUUGGCAAGGAGGAAGUCCUGCAUGCAGUGAAGAAGGAAGAGUUACAACUAAGUUGUAGCUGCAUUCAUUCACCUCACCCUUUGUUGCUUCUCUCCCUACAGUUAGCUCACGUAAGUCAAUCAACAGGCAGAGUCCAUCCUGGACCCCACCUGAAACUCACUUUAUGAAUUAUUACUGUAGGAGUGGCUGAUUUAUUGAUGGGAGCUACGUCUUGCCUCCCUAAAUUAACUACUCUUUUAUAGCCUCCUGGUCUUUAGGGUCACAUGAGAGAAAAUCAAUUUUCAGAAUUAUGGGCCCACUAUAUUUACAAGGAAAUUAUGCUAAUGCCCAAAGAAGUGCUGAGUAUCACACGGCGUGCGGUAUCACGUAGGGACUGGCCUUCCUGGGAGUAUAUCUGAUACCGGUGUGUAACCCGUUCAUCACGGGAAGGCUCACAGAGGUGGCUGCACGCUGCCUGUGCACAUGCAUUGCCGUUGUGUUUCUAGGAGCAAAGUAAACCUGUUGGGGGCAGAAGGCUGAAGAAAGUAAGUCUAUGGUAGAUCCCUGCCUGGGAGAUGGUUGCCUCAAAAUAGCCUACGACCUGUGCAGAGCUCCUAGCUGGAGGGUCCAUGUUAGUGCUACUCGAAUGUUCUACCUGUUCUGUGUCUCAGCCGAGGUAGAAGGAAAUGUUCUUCUCUUUGGGAGAUGUAGAAAGGAAGAGGUUGAACAAGAUGCCAUAUACAAGAGCAUGGCAUGGGUAACACAAGGGCAGGAGCUGAAAAAACAUUAAGACACUUCUGUGAGCCCUCAGCAAGAUGGGGGAGAGCUAUUUCUGACUAUUCACCACCUGGGGGGCAGCAUCCAGAGGAGCAGCUUCCACCAGAAGAAGCUGGUUUUGUCUCCAUGGAAAAGUCUGUGUGGAAGCUGCCUGGCUGGGCAUUUGGGUGAGCUUCCCCUGACCUGCGACACAGUGUUUGGGGAAGAGGGAAAGUGAAAUUUGCUGACUGCUUGGAGGCCAAGCCUUCCCUGCCAGGGCCACAGGUGCUGCUCCCCUGCUCUGGCAGGUAGCCUGACUGACACCCUGUGCACAUUCAGCAGCUGACUUCUGUGCAGAACAUCAUUUUGCAGAGCCAGCAUUGUCUCUGGAAGGAGGAAUUGUCCUUACAGGGGAUGCUAGUGAGGAAUGUCUAGCAAAAAGCUGCUUUGUAAAGGCCUUAAAAAGGUGCUGGGUGUACUUUCAUUCUCAUCAGCCAGGGAUUAUUAACUUCAGAAAUUAGCUUCUGGCUCCAACUUAGCUGAAAUAUGCGGGGACAGGCAUCCCCUUUGGCCACAUAGGACUGAGCUCAUAGACUUGUUACUAAGGAUAUAUGCGUCUUUUUCCCUUCACUUCAGUGGUGGCUAAACGGUCUGUUUCACUGUUCAAAGCUUUGCUCCCCAGUAAUAUCUCUGUGCACUAGUUCCUUUAGCACUUUCAAAGGCCUCUUUUCAGGAUUUCCCUGGUGGGAAGGCAGUGAAAGGAGUGACUUUCUUUUCCUUGGUAGUACCAGAAACCACUGCAACAUUUUAUGUUGUUGGAUUCUUUUCAUGAUGAGUAAUCACUGAAGAACCUAGACCUGAUCAAAACUCUUAUGCUUGGGUUUAAGUGGAAGACUGCCUUUCAGAUUUUUCUCCAUCGUUGGGAAACUCAGUGGUAGCUCCCUGCUAUGCCAAGAUCUCAUUCAGAGAUUUCACUCAGAGCGUGGUGGGGCCCUGGCACAGGUUGCUCAGAGAGGUUGUGGAUGCCCCAUUCUUGGAGGUGUUCAGGCCCAGGCUGGAGAGGCCCUGAGCAACCUGAUCUGGUGACUGGCAUCCCUGCCUAUGGCAGGGAGUUGGAACUGGAUGAUCUUUAAGGUCCCUUCCAACCCAAACCAUUUUGUGAUCUGUGCUUACAGGGCUGCACUCAGAAUGGCAUUGCCACAGCAACCAGCAAAGCUAAAAAAGUUGAUAAAGUACAUAGCAUCUUUGGGGUUUAAUUGAAGGGCAGAGGUAUUGCUAUUCCCUCAAUAAUGUGGAUGUUGUGUUUUUUGGGUGUUUCUUUUUUUGGGGGGGUUGUUUUGGUUUUUUCUUGAAAGAAGUAAGUUCCCUGCAGGCAGAUUCCAGACUGUGGCUUUGGCAAAAUAUGGAGCUGAAAAAGGAAAGUCCAUCUGCCCCAACUGCUGACUUGACAACUGUGCUGUUGGAAUAAGUGGUGUUCCUAAAAAGGAAAGAGAGAGAGACCUAGGAGGCAGUGUACGUGGUCCCCCUUGCAGUUCCCUAUUGCGUGCACAGUACUGCUCUGUUCAGUCACGGCUGACAUGUUUUUACGAGACUUCUGCUAAUGCGUUGGUGGUCUGACAGCUGCUAGGAAAUUUUCCUGAAGGGCUAGACUUUUUUUUUUCUUUUUUUCCUCCAUGAUGACUGUACCCUAGAGGGUUAGCGUAAUAUCACAAACAUCAAUGCUCCCACCUGUAUGCAAAGCAUUUCCUGCUCUGGUUAGGGACAGAAGCCCAGUGUUAGAGGAGCUCCUGUGUUGGCUGCUAAAAUGUAUCAGCACUAGAGGAGUCUGUGGAGAGCAAGCAUCAGUUAUCCCAGAGAUCAGAAAUCCUGAGUGAAAAAGAGCCAUUUACAGUUACAGUGCUGACAGUGGCUUUUCAAGUGUCAUUAGAAACUACUAAAAUUAUCUCAUUAGCCAGUAAUUGCUGGGACCCUGCAUGUAAAUUACAGUCAUCUGAGGAGAGGCUGGUGGCAGACUCAGAUCUGCCUUACGUAGAUGUUUGUGUCGUGUCACCCAGCUUCGGGAGCUGGCAUUGCUGCUGCUCCAGGUCAGGCACGAGCCGGGUGGCAGCCAGCUGCCCCCAUCCCACAGCCACGCUCCUCAGCCACCUCCUAGCGCAGGAAGAAGCUGCAGGCAGUCACAAAGAUGCUGCGAGGAGAAAGGAGCAACCUUUCUCUUUUUUUCCCUAAAAGAGAAAUGAGCUGACAGCAACAUCUGGAGACCCUCCCACUGCCUGCACCAGCAGCUCUGAGCCGGCCUCCCACGCCAAGAGGUAGCAGCUCUUGUAGUACAGCUCUAGGAGCGUGUCUUGGCUGCAGCCCGCCUCAACUUGUGCCUGACCAGUGCUAAAGCCCAGUGACUGGAAACCUCCUGGCAUGGGACUCGAUGUACAAGAGAACAAGCCGAGCAGCCCCAGCUGCCAGCCUGCACCCCGGCAUCUGCAGCCAGCUCACAGAGGGCUCUGUGCAAGGCUUGGCUUGUGGGU